UACGUAGGGUGCAAGCGUUGUCCGGAAUUAUUGGGCGUAAAGAGCUCGUAGGCGGUCUGUCGCGUCUGCUGUGAAAACUCAGGGCUUAACCCUGAGCUUGCAGUGGGUACGGGCAGACUAGAGUGCGGUAGGGGAGACUGGAAUUCCUGGUGUAGCGGUGAAAUGCGCAGAUAUCGGGAGGAACACCAGUGGCGAAGGCGGCGAUCUGGGAAGAUACUGACGCUGAGGUGCGAAAGCGUGGGGAGCAAACAGG
rnacentral:rRNA from 1 species